GAUGAAGAACGUAGCGAAAUGCGAUACUUGGUGUGAAUUGCAGAAUCCCGUGAACCAUCGAGUCUUUGAACGCAAGUUGCGCCCGAAGCCAUUAGGCCGAGGGCACGCCUGCCUGGGCGUCACACGUCGUUGCCCCCCCAUCUACUCCUUCGGGAUUGCGGGGGGCGGAUGAUGGCCUCCCGUGCGCCUCGUCGCGCGGUUGGCAUAAAUGCCAAGUCCUCGGCGACGCACGCCACGACAAUCGGUGGUUGCGAAACCUCGGUUGCCCGUCGGGUGCGGUCGUCGCGCAUCGAGGGCUCGAAAAAAUUGUCGGGCUCCGGCUCGGCUUUCAACGCGACCCCAGGUCAGGCGGGGUUACCCGCUGAAUUUAAGCAUAUCAAUAAGCGGAGGA
rnacentral:misc_RNA from 1 species